rnacentral:tRNA from 1 species
GCGCGCGUAGCUCAAGUGGACAGAGCACAGCCUUCCUAAGGCUGGGGUCGGGGGUUCGAAUCCUCCCGUGCGUA